CGAGCGAGCUGAAUUCAAAGAUCCCUUCGGGGUGAUUUGUUGGACGCUAGCGGCGGAUGGGUGAGUAACACGUGGGCAAUCUGCCCUAAAGACUGGGAUACCACUUGGAAACAGGUGCUAAUACCGGAUAACAACAUGAAUCGCAUGAUUCAAGUUUGAAAGGCGGCGCAAGCUGUCACUUUAGGAUGAGCCCGCGGCGCAUUAGCUAGUUGGUGGGGUAAAGGCCUACCAAGGCAAUGAUGCGUAGCCGAGUUGAGAGACUGAUCGGCCACAUUGGGACUGAGACACGGCCCAAACUCCUACGGGAGGCAGCAGUAGGGAAUCUUCCACAAUGGACGCAAGUCUGAUGGAGCAACGCCGCGUGAGUGAAGAAGGUUUUCGGAUCGUAAAGCUCUGUUGUUGGUGAAGAAGGAUAGAGGCAGUAACUGGUCUUUAUUUGACGGUAAUCAACCAGAAAGUCACGGCUAACUACGUGCCAGCAGCCGCGGUAAUACGUAGGUGGCAAGCGUUGUCCGGAUUUAUUGGGCGUAAAGCGAGCGCAGGCGGAAUGAUAAGUCUGAUGUGAAAGCCCACGGCUCAACCGUGGAACUGCAUCGGAAACUGUCAUUCUUGAGUGCAGAAGAGGAGAGUGGAACUCCAUGUGUAGCGGUGGAAUGCGUAGAUAUAUGGAAGAACACCAGUGGCGAAGGCGGCUCUCUGGUCUGCAACUGACGCUGAGCUCGAAAGCAUGGGUAGCGAACAGGAUUAGAUACCCUGGUAGUCCAUGCCGUAAA
rnacentral:rRNA from 1 species